rnacentral:lncRNA from 1 species
AAAGAUUAAUCAGGGGGGCGGAGCUAGCAACGGACCCGACCGGACGCCUCUCUAGAGAGCUCCGACAUAAACCAACGAUAAACGGCCAAAUUAACCCUUACAAACCACAGCAAACGGGCUGAUACCUACCCAGAAGGUGGAUACACCAUCAUAGGCCGAAAAACGAAAAAACCCAAGGAGGAUCGGGCAUCUAACAGCCGAGAUAUCGGUGAACUCCUGCGGCGCGCACACCAGACAGCGUGGCCCAAUAUGGCGCCUACGGAUGAAACAUCCUCAUACUCCUCCGAGGACUUCCAUGCCGGGCUGGACGGAGGAGCCAUGCUAGGAGCAGUGCCGAAGGUACGACCUACCCCACCUGCUGGCCAAAAACCGAUUACUAAAGACAUGCUGCAAUCUAUGCUAACGGAGCUGCGCUCCAACAUAGCAGCCGACAUAGCACAAUUUAAAGAGACAGUGAAUGGGGCACUCACACGGCUCACAGUCCUAGAGACUACCUCCAGUAGCCAGGAAUCCAGACUCACCAAAGUGGAGCAGAGACUUGAGGAGUUCCACCUGGCCCAGAGAAGCAUGGAAACCAGGGUGGACACUCUGGAAGACCAGAGGCGGCGACACAACCUUAAACUAAGGGGCAUCCCUGACACAGUGAGUACAGAAGAAAUACCGCACUACAUAAGGCGACUCACCUCCACCCUCCUAUCGACCAAACAGGCGAAGGCACUUAAAUUGGACGGCAUGUUCAGGCUUCCAACACCAAAGAACGCCCCCAACACCGCCACGGCGGACCUUAUCCUCCACUUUCAAACCAUGCAAGACAAAGCCUUAAUCUCUUCAGCGGUGAGGGGGAAAACCCCUAUCCAAUUUGAAGGCUCAUCCCUGUUAAUAUUCCCUGACUUAACUAAAAAGACACUACUCUGGCGCAGAUCUAUGAAACCCCUUCUCCGCAUCCUAAGGGACCAGGAUGUGACCUACCGCUGGGGAAAUUCUAGACAACUCACACUUACCCACCAGGGAGGCACCUACAGAGCCAAGAACCCACAAGAACUGGAGGCCGCAAUGCGCAGCCUGAAACUACUACCUGAGCAGGACACAUCGACCACCCGUCUUCGCAACAUGGAUCCGUCUAAGAUCCCGGCUUUUAUGCCACGGUCGACCUCUGGCCACGGAUCCCCGGUAACUUGACUGACCUGUGACACAUAGUCCGGCUGCAGGAGAUAUCUCCACUAACAAGCCUGAAGGACUAUACGCAGGGGUAUGCUGACGAACUGCAUACUGAACACCUCAUAACUCUCUAAUUCUCUGUUCAUUUCAUUUGUUAAACAGUUAUCCGUUGCCGAGCUCCUACUUAUCCGAAAUGACCCUUCUUACCCUCUGUUACAAACUUUGCUAACUCAAUGGGGAAAUAAAUAACCCCGACUAGGACGCUAUCCUGCUAACUCUACACAGAGGGUAUGCGUCACUCGAGUGACCCCCCCCCCACCCUCCCCACUCUUGACAGUAUAGAACAUAUGUGCCAUAGUCGUAAGGUGAGAGAGAGCUAUAUUGUACCUCGAGUACGAUUCACAUUUUGUUGAACAAUACCUGUUAGACCCGCAUGCCUACAUAUACAAAAAAAACCUCAUGCCACUUCGUUUUUAUUCAUGCAUAAUGUCCAAAUAAUAUGCUUGUAUUCAUG